UUUUGUUUCUCCGUGUUUCAUUCGAGGGAUGAAGUCGAUCAAGCCUUUGCCCGAGGGUGUUCAUCACUCCAAGCGUUCUGGAAUUAUCAUGUUUUGACAUGACGGGGGUCGUGGAGGAACCCGUGGUUCAACAGUCUCGUUGCUGGUUUCUCCUAUCUUCGUGGUGUUGUUUCGUGCUCUGUCAAGGUUGUGGAUGACGGAUCAGGCGUUUCCAGAGAUGAUAUGGUUUUGUUGGGAAAAAGAUACAGUAAGUUGCGGCCAUCUUU